rnacentral:rRNA from 1 species
AUGCCUCAUACCACCACCCUAGCCUGUCCGCGUUUUUGUCAAGGUGCCAAUAUGCAUCCAAUUCCCCCUCCUCAAGGCCCCAACCAAAAACGGCGGUUUCGUCUUCCUCGCGCACAAGCAACAAGAGAUAGGAAGCACCAGAAGCCGGAGGGGAUCGGAGAACAAAGUGCCCAAGGUAGGAGUUUGGAGGAGUUUCGGAACGAGGAGAUGGACAAGAUCUUCGGCGAUCUAUCCAACUCCGAUGAAGAGGUCGAAGACCGAGCAAACGGUGGCCGUGAGGUCAGCGGUUUGAACGCCAACAAUCACGCCGGUGGUGAUAACGGCCACUGGAACCACAGCUGUCGCAGCCUUCGUCUAGCCCAUGCCACGACAAAGCACAAAUACAAGUCUAACAGCCGCCGCCUCCAUGGCAAUCGAUGGGAAGAUCGGAAACCUGGAAGCCACGGGCCUGCUGGUUUAGCCAAACAAAGUGUAGAUGAAGGUCAUCAUGUGGUACUUGGCUAUCAGAACAUGCGAGGCAACAAGGAAGUCAUGAAUGGUGAAAAGGAAGGACGUCACCAAAGAACAGAAACCACUAGAACAAGGAUUGUUGCCUCUGAAUUCGAGGGGUCUAAAUACAAUUGCAACGUUGACCAAGAUCGUAAAGACGGAGAAGUGAAACGAACAAGAAAAAUAGGGCCAACAAAGGAUGUUCUUUGCGAUGUUGGUGGUAGUGAUGUGAAUGGACUCGCCUUAUAUGGUGAUACUGAAGAUGUAAAUAGAUUGCCUACCGAGGGAGAAGGCCAUUGUGCAAAUAUUUUACAACCAAUGGACGUAACUCGUGACAAAGAUAUGUGUUAUGAACAAGAGUCCAAACAUUGUCUAAUUAGUCCUCUGCUGAACUUGGUGGUUCCACAUAUACCACCAUCUGGUCAACCUGAUCGAUUAAAAGUGAUGAAGGUCUCAAAUGUCGUGGGGAUUAAUCCAAAACCUUUUGAUCCUGAAACAUACAUGGAAGAGGAUGACUUCGUUGCUCCACCGGCAAGAAAAGUGUGCAUAAGAAUGUUGUCCAUUGCAGAAUGGCCAAGAAUGCUGAUGGCACUCAAUCUCUUGAAAGCAAUGCACGUUUUGUCCAGUGGAAAGAUGGAACCAUGCAACUAUUGA